GACGAACGCUGGCGGCGUGCUUAACACAUGCAAGUCGAACGGAAAGGCCCUGCUUUUGUGGGGUGCUCGAGCGGCGAACGGGUGAGUAACACGUGAGUAACCUGCCCUUGACUUUGGGAUAACUUCAGGAAACUGGGGCUAAUACCGGAUAGGAGCUCCUGCUGCAUGGUGGGGGUUGGAAAGUUUCGGCGGUUGGGGAUGGACUCGCGGCUUAUCAGCUUGUUGGUGGGGUAGUGGCUUACCAAGGCUUUGACGGGUAGCCGGCCUGAGAGGGUGACCGGCCACAUUGGGACUGAGAUACGGCCCAGACUCCUACGGGAGGCAGCAGUGGGGAAUAUUGCACAAUGGGCGGAAGCCUGAUGCAGCAACGCCGCGUGCGGGAUGACGGCCUUCGGGUUGUAAACCGCUUUCGCCUGUGACGAAGCGUGAGUGACGGUAAUGGGUAAAGAAGCACCGGCUAACUACGUGCCAGCAGCCGCGGUGAUACGUAGGGUGCGAGCGUUGUCCGGAUUUAUUGGGCGUAGAGGGCUCGUAGGUGGUUGAUCGCGUCGGAAGUGUAAUCUUGGGGCUUAACCCUGAGCGUGCUUUCGAUACGGGUUGACUUGAGGAAGGUAGGGGAGAAUGGAAUUCCUGGUGGAGCGGUGGAAUGCGCAGAUAUCAGGAGGAACACCAGUGGCGAAGGCGGUUCUCUGGGCCUUUCCUGACGCUGAGGAGCGAAAGCGUGGGGAGCGAACAGGCUUAGAUACCCUGGUAGUCCACGCUGUAAACGGUGGGUACUAGGUGUGGGGUCCAUUCCACGGGUUCCGUGCCGUAGCUAACGCUUUAAGUACCCCGCCUGGGGAGUACGGCCGCAAGGCUAAAACUCAAAGGAAUUGACGGGGCCCCGCACAAGCGGCGGAGCAUGCGGAUUAAUUCGAUGCAACGCGUAGAACCUUACCUGGGUUUGACAUGGAUCGGGAGUGCUCAGAGAUGGGUGUGCCUCUUUUGGGGUCGGUUCACAGGUGGUGCAUGGCUGUCGUCAGCUCGUGUCGUGAGAUGUUGGGUUAAGUCCCGCAACGAGCGCAACCCUUGUUCACUGUUGCCAGCACGUUAUGGUGGGGACUCAGUGGAGACCGCCGGGGUCAACUCGGAGGAAGGUGGGGACGACGUCAAGUCAUCAUGCCCCUUAUGUCCAGGGCUUCACGCAUGCUACAAUGGCUGGUACAGAGAGUGGCGAGCCUGUGAGGGUGAGCGAAUCUCGGAAAGCCGGUCUCAGUUCGGAUUGGGGUCUGCAACUCGACCUCAUGAAGUCGGAGUCGCUAGUAAUCGCAGAUCAGCAACGCUGCGGUGAAUACGUUCCCGGG
rnacentral:rRNA from 1 species